ensembl:lncRNA
GUAAGUAUUCUGUAUAAUAUUUGGAUAUAGUUAUAUGAAGAAAAUAUUCACUGUUUAUGUGAAAUUCAAAUUUAACUGGUCACUGGUGCUGUAUUUUGUUUGGCAUCCGGACCCUGAGGCCCCAAUGUCAUAAGACAAUGGACAAAACUUCAAAGAGGAUUAAGAAAGACAACAGGUGAAGUUACCUGGGCCACAGUCCCAGGGAGCCAGCGGAGGCCAAGCUAUUCAUCUUACCUGGGAAUCAGAACGGUAGAGAUACAGGCGAAAGUCCAAAACCUGCUCCAGCCUCAGGGGUGGAACUCGGGACCUUGCGCUUGCCAGGCAGGCAGUGGAACCACUGAGCUACAUCCCGGCUGCAGGAGCCAUAAAAGGAUUGAGGCUGUGAUGCUCGCCACAGUGUGGACGGACCUUGAGGACGCCGUGCUCAGUGACAGACGCCAGACACAGAGGACACAGCGUGGGCUCCUCGGACAGGAAACGCCCAGGACAGGCAACUCCAGAGACAGGAAGUGGACAGGGUGCUGGGGCUGGGAGGGGACGGGGAACUGCUUGUGAAGACGGAUGGGGCUUUCUUUGGGGUGGUGGAAAGUUCUGAAAUCAGAGUUGAAAGUUGCACAACACUGUGCUGAAACCACUGGACCACACCCCUCAGCUCUGUGGACAUGCCACACAUCAAAUAUCGCGAUGGAGAGUGGGGACAUCCUGUGCGAGCCCCCCCCCCCCCGCCGCAACCCGUAUGUCAGCCGCACAUACCCAGCUCCAGUGGCUCAGGAUGCCUGCCGUCCGGGCUCCGUCUAGGCCCCCAGUGCUGGCUGGUGCCACCCUCUGCUGGCACUUAUGUCCCUGGCUGGAAGGAGCCUGGAAAGGCCACUUGAGCUUAAAGGACACAUAGCGGGCCAAGGCGGUGACCACCGGUGGCUUGAAGACAUCUUCACAGGUCAGGGAAGUAAAGGACAAAAAUCCUGCCACCUGGCCUUGGUCACACCAGAGGCCCACCCGAGUCACCCUGUCAGGGGGGACAGAAAGCAGGUCAGCUUGGGGCCACUUCCCAGCUGCAUGUGCGCCUCCUCCCUUCUCCCCUGUCCUGUUCUCCCUCAUUCGAACCCCAUGGCCUUUGCAUGUGCUGUGCCGUGGGGUAGCUCGUCUUUGCUGUUAGAAUUUGAACCAGGGCUCUGUGGCUUCCUGGGUGUGUGGCCCUGAGCUUCUUCCCCAACCUCUCUGGGCCUCAAUUCUGCAGCCCAGGACCAGGCAAAUGCUAGUCUCUCCCACUAUCCUCCCACCAGGUCAGAUGACCCUGUCCCCUACAAGAGGUGCCCUUGGAUGUUGCAGGGGCCUUGGCCUUUGGGGUCGAUCACUGUCUGGCAGAGUGUGCUGAUGGGGAGCUCUUUGUGUACCCCCAGCCAGUCAUGGUGGACCACAUUCCUCUGGGUGGUACGGAGCGAGCGCGGCAAGUCCAGGACCCAGACCUUCUUGUGGGGCUUCACCUUGCCUUUCGGCUGCAGGCACAGACGAGGGGGGAGAGGCAAGUCUUCCCACAGGACGCCAGGGAUCCAUCCUUGCCACCCGAUGGAAAGCCACACCUGAAGCCAGACCUCCUGGACUUCUCAGCAAGGAGAAAAGUAACUAAGGCACCAUCAUAUUAAAGGCCCAAUUCAUCGAAGCCCACUCUCCCCGAGCCAGCAGAGUUCCGGACACCUCGCUCCCUGCCUUCCAUCUCACACUCCCAGGCUCCCGCCCUGGCCCAGCCUAGGGCUUUGGAAGUGACCACCUGGGCAGUCCUAGGUGGGCUCUUUAUGCUGAGCCCCGGUUUCUUGGUCCAAAACAUGGGGUGUUAACAGCCCUGCCUCCUGGGUCCUGUAUCCUGACUGCCAGCCACGGUUAGAGCAAGAAGCAUGGAGCAUGAGGUCUCAAAGGCCCCUCAGGACCUGGAGGGAGCUGGAGGAUGGCACAUUUGCCGCUCAGCCCUGGACGGUUCUGACGGUUCUGUAAAAGCACGCCCCGCACGACAGCAACUGCUGGACAUGGAGGAGUUCUCAUUUUUGUAGCUUGUCUGCUAACACCAAAAUUCAAUCAAAUUAAAAAAGAAAAUUCAUCUUUCUUCUGAAGUGGCCUCACCCCCACAGCAGCUUCACGGGGUGUCUUCCCCUGCGCCCCACCGGAAGUUCUGUCUGCAGAGGUACAACCACCACCUGAGUUCCAAAGCUUCCAUCCUCUGCAAAACAAAUUUUGUGCCCCUGACUAACCACCUGCACUUUGUUUUUAAAUAGUUUUUAGUAUUUUGUUGUUGAGACAGGGUCUUGCUAUGUAGCCCAGGCUGGCUGUGCACUGUGAUCCUCCUGCUUCAGCCUCUCAAGUGUGGGAUGACAGGCU